UACGUAGGGGGCAAGCGUUGUCCGGAUUUAUUGGGCGUAAAGAGCGUGUAGGCGGUCAGGUAGGUCCGUUGUGAAAACUCGAGGCUCAACCUCGAGACGCCGAUGGAAACCAUCUGACUAGAGUCCGGAAGAGGAGAGUGGAAUUCCGUGGUGUAGCGGUGAAAUGCGCAGAUAUCAGGAAGAACACCCGUGGCGAAGGCGGCUCUCUGGACGGUACUGACGCUGAGACGCGAAAGCGUGGGGAGCAAACAGG
rnacentral:rRNA from 1 species